GACGAACGCUGGCGGCGUGCCUAAUACAUGCAAGUUGAGCGCUGAAGGUUGGUACUUGUACCAACUGGAUGAGCAGCGAACGGGUGAGUAACGCGUGGGGAAUCUGCCUUUGAGCGGGGGACAACAUUUGGAAACGAAUGCUAAUACCGCAUAAAAACUUUAAACACAAGUUUUAAGUUUGAAAGAUGCAAUUGCAUCACUCAAAGAUGAUCCCGCGUUGUAUUAGCUAGUUGGUGAGGUAAAGGCUCACCAAGGCGAUGAUACAUAGCCGACCUGAGAGGGAGAUCGGCCACAUUGGGACUGGGACACGGCCCCAACUCCUACGGGAGGCAGCAGUAGGGAAUCUUCGGCAAUGGACGAAAGUCUGACCGAGCAACGCCGCGUGAGUGAAGAAGGUUUUCGGAUCGUAAAACUCUGUUGGUAGGGAAGAACGUUGGUGAGAGUGGAAAGCUCAUCAAGUGACGGUAACUACCCAGAAAGGGACGGCUAACUACGUG
rnacentral:rRNA from 1 species